rnacentral:lncRNA from 1 species
GAGCAACUACUGUCAAAAAUAAGACAUCAAAGUAUGCUCUUAAAGCCAUUGGCUUUUAAAGCUUCUUCUUAGAAGUGACACCUGUCACUGCCACUCACAUUUAACUGGCUAAAACAAGUCAAGUCAUAUGGCCAUAUCUGAGUUCAGUGGAGUGCAGAAGAGCCUGGACCGAACUAUACUAGCACGGAACGAUACUGUACUAUAGCCCAAAAAAGGAAGGGAGCCAUAUACUUGUGAACAGCCUGAAAGACUACCACAAGAUGUAACAGAAAUGGCUAUCCAUUAUCACAAACACUGUUAGUUCCAUCUUCCUUAGUAAGAAGGUAUAGCUGGUAUUCAAGGCAGCAACGUGCCCACGAGGAAUAGUGGUAUGACCCAGUUCUGGCCAUGAAGUAAUCAGAAGCCUACUACUGAGGAUCCAGGAAAAUGGUUUGUUUCCUAGUGAAAGGACAGUUUCAGCUGUCUUCUGACCAUCUCCUUCCUCCUGCCUGGGAUGCAGAAUGUGGUGUCUGGAGGAAAGCAUCAAUCUUGUCAACAUGAGGAUGAUAGCCACAUACAUGUUUAGGACAGUAGAAGAAGCCUGUAUCCUGGAGGCCUUCCUUGAGCUGCUGAACUAGUCCUGAAUUGUCUUCCUCCAGGUUUCCUGUGAUGUGAGAAAAAUAAAGCCCCACUGGAUUCAAC